CCACCCUGGAAAAAAUGUAUUUCCAGGGUGGAAAUACAUUUUUUCCACCCUGGAAAAAAUGUAUUUUUUCCAGGGUGGAAAAAAUACAUUUUUCCACCCUGGAAAAAUGUAUUUUUCCAGGGUGGAAAAAU
rfam:Poecilia formosa, whole genome shotgun sequence.